rnacentral:rRNA from 1 species
GGAGCGUACUGCAUACCUGUCAUGCAGUCGAGCGGUAGAGAGAAGCUUGCUUCUCUUGAGAGCGGCGGACGGGUGAGUAAUGCCUAGGAAUCUGCCUGGUAGUGGGGGAUAACGUUCGGAAACGGACGCUAAUACCGCAUACGUCCUACGGGAGAAAGCAGGGGACCUUCGGGCCUUGCGCUAUCAGAUGAGCCUAGGUCGGAUUAGCUAGUUGGUGAGGUAAUGGCUCACCAAGGCGACGAUCCGUAACUGGUCUGAGAGGAUGAUCAGUCACACUGGAACUGAGACACGGUCCAGACUCCUACGGGAGGCAGCAGUGGGGAAUAUUGGACAAUGGGCGAAAGCCUGAUCCAGCCAUGCCGCGUGUGUGAAGAAGGUCUUCGGAUUUAGUAAAGCACUUUAAGUUGGGAGGAAGGGCAGUUAACCUAAUACGCUGGAUGUGUUUUUGAACGUUACCGAGACCAGAACAUACAGCACUCUUGGUCUAACUCGUGUGCCAUGCCAGGCGCGCGGUUAAAUACAGGAGGAGUAGCAAGUCUGUUUAAUUCUGGAAUUUACUGAGGCGUAAAAGGCGCCGCGGUAGGUGGUUUAGGUUAAGUUGGAAUGUGAAAUUCCCCGGGGCUCCAACCUGGGGAACUGCUAUUCAAAAGCUGACUGACUAGAGUAUGGUAGAGGGGUGGUAGGAAUUUCCUGUGUAGCCGGUGAAAAUGUGUAGAUAUAGGAAAGGAACACCAGUGGCGAAGGGCGACCACCUGGAGUGAUACUGACACUGAUGGUGCGAAAAGCGUGGGGGAGCAAACAGGAUUAGAUACCCUGGUAGUCCACGCCCGUAAACGAUGUCAACUAAGCCGUUGGGAGCCUUGAGCUAUUAGUGGCGCAGCUAACGCAUUAAGUUGACCGCCUGGGGGAGUACGGCCGCAAGGUUAAAACUCCAAAUGAAAUGACGGGGGGCCCGCCACAAGCCGGUGGAGCAUGUGGUUUAAUUCGAAGCAACGCGAAGAACCUUACSAGGCCUUGACAUCCAAUGAACUUUCUAGAGAUAGAUUGGUGCCUUCGGGAACAUUGAGACAGGUGCUGCAUGGCUGUCGUCAGCUCGUGUCGUGAGAUGUUGGGUUAAGUCCCGUAACGAGCGCAACCCUUGUCCUUAGUUACCAGCACGUAAUGGUGGGCACUCUAAGGAGACUGCCGGUGACAAACCGGAGGAAGGUGGGGAUGACGUCAAGUCAUCAUGGCCCUUACGGCCUGGGCUACACACGUGCUACAAUGGUCGGUACAGAGGGUUGCCAAGCCGCGAGGUGGAGCUAAUCCCAGAAAACCGAUCGUAGUCCGGAUCGCAGUCUGCAACUCGACUGCGUGAAGUCGGAAUCGCUAGUAAUCGCGAAUCAGAAUGUCGCGGUGAAUACGUUCCCGGGCCUUGUACACACCGCCCGUCACACCAUGGGAGUGGGUUGCACCAGAAGUAGCUAGUCUAGACGCUUACGGGGGACGGCCACAGACACGAGACAAUGGGGGGA